AAUUGGGGCCUGCGCGGCAGAUGUCUAUGAAUCUCGUCAGGUCCGUGAGGAAGCAGCGAUAAGUGGACCUCUCUGGGUGACGCAGGGUUACCCGAUUGCG
rnacentral:SRP_RNA from 1 species